rnacentral:lncRNA from 1 species
UGAAUCACGCAAGGGACCCCUUAACUAUUCAGGAUCAAUAGAACGAAUCGCACUUUUACCACUAAACUAUACCCGCUACAAUACCAUUAUUGUAUAUAAAACGAUCUUUUGUCCAACAAGGGAAUCAAUCAUAAUUAUGAAAUAGGUGCAUAAUUUUAUGAGAAAUAGAGUGUUUCCAUGUUUCGUAAAGGGCCCCCUAAUGAAAUUUAGAAAAGGGGGCAAAUCUCAUUUUUGGAUUUUGUUGAAGGUAUUUUGAUAGAUAGAUCUCGACAAAAUUACUAAACUAAAUUCAUAACACAAAAAUACAUUAUGCAAGCAAGAAUCCAUAGUUCUAUUUCUUUUUUUAGAUACGUUACCUGAUUCAUUCGUAGGAUAUACGAUCACAUAGUGAUUUUUAUUUUUGUUUGAUCAUAUUUAAAUGUUUGAAUUAAUUACAAGUUUCAAAUCUGAUACAGAAAAAUAAAUCAUUGUUAUCCAGGAUUCAUGGGAAAAAAGAGCUGUGCCAGUACCUAGAUUAUGCAAGCAAGAAUCCAUAGUUCUAUUUCUUUUUUUAGAUACGUUACCUGAUUCAUUCGUAGGAUAUACGAUCACAAAGUGAUUUUUAUUUUUGUUUGAUCAUAUUUAAAUGUUUGAAUUAAUUACGAGUUUCAAAUCUGAUACAGAAAAAUAAAUCAUUGUUAUCCAGGAUUCAUGGGAAAAAAGAGCUGUGCCAGUACCUAGCUGGACUCUGGUUGGAUAAAAAAACAAACUAAAAAAGAAAAUCUAAAAUUAUGGAUUUAGAUUAUCUAUUUAGUAUAUAUAGAAUGAAUAUAUAUUUGAAUCUAUAUUUAUGAGUUAAUAUAGAAUUAUGAAUAGUAAUGAAAUAAAAUUAUAAUCAAAUAGAAAAAAAAAAAAGAUAGAUAAGUUAUAUCAAAUGAAGAUCAAUAUCAAAUAAGAUAUAUAGAAGGCUUUUUUCGAGCCCUACUUUUUGUUCUUUUUGUUUAUGCGAGGUAUCAUAAGCAUAAUCAUUCCAUUUUUUGAAUUGGGGAGAGAAAUCAAUAUCAAAUAAGAUAUAUAGAAGGCUUUUUUCGAGCCCUACUUUUUGUUCUUUUUGUUUAUGCGAGGUAUCAUAAGCAUAAUCAUUCCAUUUUUUGAAUUGGGGAGAGAUGGCUGAGUGGACUGAAGCGUCGGAUUGCUAAUCCGUUGUACGCAUUUUUGUACCGAGGGUUCGAAUCCCUCUCUUUCCGUUUAUUGAUGAUUUGGCAUUUUUUUCUUUUGAACUUAUGGAAUUUCUUUUUUUUUUUUAUUAUUAUUUCCUGUUUCUUUCAUUUUUAACUAGUUCUUUUUGAAAAAUAGAUAGAAAAACGAAAAAUAUUUCAAAAUCCAGGACAAGUAAGGAAAAGAAAAAAGAUUUUCUUAUUCUUCACGUCCAGGAUUACGUCCAGGAUCAUUAGAUAGGAAUCCGAAGAUGAAAAGAGAAACAAAGAAUAUCACUAUCGUGUAAACAAAUAGUUUUAGAGUAAGCAUUACAAAAUCUCCAAGAUAAUUAAAAAAAACGACAGAGAAAAGAAUAAGAUUCUCUCCUAUUUCAUAUUAUGUUUCCUUGAGACUCAGUUUAUAAGAAAUGAAGUUAUUUCAAAAAAACUUAAGAAAUUGGUUUGUAGUAAGAGUUGAGAUCCUUUUUUACCAUUACCAAAAAUUGUAUUUCAUAUCUACAAUCAAGAUCCACGUAUUGGUGGUAGACUCAAAUCGAAUAAUAGAAUUUUUAUUUUUUAAUGGAAAAAAAGGAAAUGAUGAGAUGAUCUAUAUUUUUAUUGUCUAUCCAAAAAUUGCAAGAUUUGUAAUCACGGAUUCACACUGUAAGACUUAUCUGAUCUUUAAAAAUAUUCAAAUUUGAGUUUUCUAAUAAAUUCUGACUUUUUUUAGGACAUUAUACAAAUUAAAUAUCUUAUCGAAAACUUACAGCAGCUUGCCAAACAAAAGCUAAGAGAAAAAAGAGUAAGGGUAUUACUGGCAUAAAAUCUACAAUUGGAUUCAAAAAAGCAUAAGCUUCAGGUAAUUUCCCAAGAAAAAACUACUUGAAUAAAGGGCAGAGUUAAUACAAAUACAGACCAAGCUAAAGAUAUUAAGCAUAACAAAAAUGUUGUUCUUUAAGAAAAUGAAUUGUAUUUUUAUUUUUUUUAUUAAAUCUGAUCUUUAAAAAUAUUCAAAUUUGAGUUUUCUAAUAAAUUCUGACUUUUUUUAGGACAUUAUUCAAAUUAAAUAUCUUAUCGAAAACUUACAGCAGCUUGCCAAACAAAAGCUAAGAGAAAAAGAGUAAGGGUAUUACUGGCAUAAAAUCUACAAUUGGAUUCAAAAAAGCAUAAGCUUCAGGUAAUUUCCCCAAGAAAAAACUACUUGAAUAAAGGGCAGAGUUAAUACAAAUACAGACCAAGCUAAUGAUAUUAAGCAUAACAAAAAUGUUGUUCUUUAAGAAAAUGAAUUGUAUUUUUAUUUUUUUUAUUAUCUUCUUAUUAUAUAUAUUAUUAUAUAUAUGAUAUGAUUUAUUAUAUAUAUAUAAUUUAUUAUUAUCCGCUUUUUUUGUAUUAUACUUUUAUAUUCACAAUGAAAUAUAAAAGUAUAAUACAAAAAAUAAAGGUUUAUUUUAUUUUCUAUUUAUAUUACAAUAGAUAAUAUAUAGAAUAGAAAAUGGGGCGUGGCCAUACUUUUAUAUUCACAAUGAAAUAUAAAAGUAUAAUACAAAAAAUAAAGGUUUAUUUUAUUUUCUAUUUAUAUUACAAUAGAUAAUAUAUAGAAUAGAAAAUGGGGCGUGGCCAAGCGGUAAGGCGGCAGGUUUUGGUCCCGUGAUUCGGAGGUUCGAAUCCUUCCGUCCCAGGUGAAACCGAUUGAUGAUAUCACCAGUUUUCUUCAUGAAGGCAUAAAAAGGCUUCUUAUACGUUUCUAGGGGAGGGGAUAUAUUAUUCAUCUAAAGUUGCUCAACCUACAUAUUAGGAAAAAGUCAAUAAAUAAAGUUUAUCGAUAAAUACCGUAGACCCUAUAAGCUUUUUUACUUAUUUUCAAUUAGUAUAUUUAGAAAAUAUACUAAUUGGAAAUCGAACAAUGAUUAUGAUUAUGCUAUUCUAUUCAUCUAUAAUAUUUUCAUUCAUCUAUCAUAUUUUCAUGUAAAUGGAGGAAAAAAAGAAAAAUCUAUGCAAAGAAAGUGGUUCAAUUCAAUGAUCUAUUCAUCUAAAGUUGCUCAACCUACAUAUUAGGAAAAAGUCAAUAAAUAAAGUUUAUCCAUAAAUACCGUAGACCCUAUGAGCUUUUUUACUUAUUUUCAAUUAGUAUAUUUAGAAAAUAUACUAAUUGAAAAUCGAAUUUGAUAACUAUUCUAAAAAAAAAAUUAUCAUCCAAUGACUAUUCUAUUCAUCUAUAAUAUUUUCAUUCAUCUAUAAUAUUUUCAUUUAUCUAUAAUAUUUUCAUGUAAAUGGAGGAAAAAAAGAAAGAUCUAUGCAAAAAAAGUGGUUCAAUUCAAUGAUCUUUAACAGGGGUUUAGAAUACAGGUGUGGUUUAAGUAAAUCAAUAGAUAGUUUUGGUCCUAUUGGAAAUAACGUAAAUGAAGACCCAUCUAGUUUAACUGAUAUGGAUAAUAACAUUGAUAACUGGAAGAACAAUAGUGAAAAUUCUUGUUAUAGUCAUGCUGAUUCUUUAGCAGAUGUCACGAACAUAGAUAAUUUACUAUCUCAUAAAAAAAAUUCAAUUAGGGACAGUAAUAGCAACAUAUAUGACAUAUAUUAUGCUUAUGAUACUAAUGAUACUAUUGAAUUGGAUUCGGAAGAAGAAUCUUUGAAAGAUCGUCUGGAUGAAGACAUGCUUUCUCCGGAUCCCAUUGAAUUGGAUUCGGAAGAAGAAUCUUCAAAAGAUCGUGUGGAUUCGGAAGAGGAAGAAGAGGAAAAAGACCAAUCUUAUAUCGACCGUCUUGAUUCUUAUCAAGAAAAGACAGGAUUACCGGAGACGGUUCAAACAGGCACAGAUCAACGUGAGGAAAUCAAUCGGUUGUUCAAAGAUAUUAUGAAUAAACUUGACUUGUAUUUGCAAACUGCGAAAAAUCGUGUGGAUUCGGAAGAGGAAGAAGAGGAAAAAGACCAAUCUUAUAUCAAUCGUCUUGAUUCUUAUCAAGAAAAGACAGGAUUACCGGCGGCGGUUCAAACAGGCACAGGUCAACUAAAUGGUAUUCCUUUAGCACUAGUUGUUAUGGAUUCUGAGUUUAUAGCGGGUAGUAUGGGAUACGUAGUGGGUGAGAAAAUCACUCGGUUGAUCGAAUAUGCUACCAAUCUACUUUUACCUCUUAUUAUAGUAUGUGCGUCCGGAGGAGCGCGUAUGCAAGAAGGAAGUUUGAGCUUAAUGCAAAUGGCUAAAAUUUCUUCUGCCUUAUAUAAUUAUCAAAUCAAUCAAAAGUUAUUCUAUGUAGCGAUACUUACAUCUCCGUCUACUAGUGGGGUAACAUCUAGUUUUGGGAUGUUGGGGGAUAUCAUUAUUGUCGAACCUAAUGCAACCAUUGCAUUUGCGGGUAAAAGAGUAAUUGAACAAUUGUUGAAUAAGGAAGUGCCUGAAGGUUCCCAAUCGGCUGACCUUUUAUUCGACAAGGGCUUAUUGGAUGCAGUCGUACCACGUCAUCUUUUAAAGGAGUUUUUAACUGAGUUAUUUCAGUUCCAUGGUUUCGCUCCUUUGACUUAAAAUUGGACUAAAAAUGAAAACUAAUGCAGACAUUUUAUUUAUGUUUUUCAAAUUUGAUGACGAGAUCCAAUCCGAGUAGAUAAGAGGCUAUGGCUAUGAUACAAAAAUAAAAUUAGAACACACAAGAGUAAAGUAAAAGAUAAGAAUAAAAAUAAUAGGUAUAAAUAAAAUAUGAAAUUGAGGUAUCCCAUUUUAUGAUAAACUUACCAUCCCUUUUUGUUCCUUUAGUAGAGCCUGCAUUUCCCGGCAGUUGCAAUGGCUUCUUUAUUUCUUCAUGUUGAGAAAAGACUUUUUAUUUUCCACACAAAAAAUCACUAAAUAAUAUAUGAAAAAGAUAACUCAGAAUAUUCGAAGGAUUACUAUAUAUAUAAUAUAUAUAGUAGUCCAAUUUUUGUACGAUGGGACUGUAGAGGGUAUUAUAGUAACUGUUUUAUCGCUUGUUUUUGCUAGAAAAUUAUUUUGUUGGGCAGAAGGUCAUCCUGCAUAUCGUUUAGGAGACUCAUGGAUUGCCUUUGUAGCAGGGUCUCAAAACAGUUUCACUAUUUUGUGUUGUUCUUUCAAAUUUUUACAUUCAUUUGGGAGGAAGUUUUUCGCUUACAUUCAGAUGAAGUUGUCCAGUGUGCCACGAGAAGAAAGGGUCAGGCUACUUUUUUAUGCAAUUGUAAAGAUCUUUCUAACAUUAUAUCGAAUGAGAUUUAGUUGUCGUUCCGGCUUUUCUGGAAGAGAUCGUUGUAUUAUUCCCAGAGUUCCUAUGAACACUAGUCAGUGCCUCAUACAAAAAACUAACCCAGAUAGUAAUGAUGUCCUUUCUAUGAAAACCAGAGAAAGAGAAAAGGGGACCAUUCCCUUGAGUUCUGUUUAUGCUAGUCCUCCAUGCAACCGUCUAAAAAAAAGUGUGGAGUUACCCAGAUUAUUGAGUGGGCGAAUAGAAAAUGUUCCACCAAAGGACGAAUAAACAAGCGAGAAUAGUCUAUAAUAUAUCAAUUUAUAUGAAAAAAUUAAAAAUUGAUAUAUUAUAAGCUAAGCUGCUCUAUUACUUGUAUUUACUUGUAAUAGAACUUAUGGAUUAUUAUUAUAUAUACAGUUGAAAAAUAAGAUGAAACUGAGGACGAAAAAUGGAAAAAAAGAAAGCAUUCAUUCCCCUUCUAUACAAUCAAAGGUUUAAGUGUAGGAGAGUUUGAUAACACCGAAAAACAUAGUUUAUUUUGACUCGAUUUGCCCAUGUUUUAUUAUUAUUAUGUUUCAUUUUAUAGUAUUAUGCUUGUGAUUUAUGCAUGUUUCAGGUAUUUUACGAGUAAGAGUUGAUUUAUGAAGAAACCAGAAGAAAAUGGAAAAAAUGGAUAAAAGUGGCAAAAAUACACACGUGGCUACCUGCAUGGUGCCCGCCGUGACUAGGCAGGCGUGGAAUCCCCUAGAGCGGAAAAAGGAAGGCUGAAGAUGCAGUCAAAGGCUUGUGGCGACCGCCACAAGCCUCAUGGUGUUCUCCAUGCACAUCAAAGAAGGUCGAAAGCAUAUUUUGCACUUGUGGCGACCGCCAUGAAGUUCGGUUCCUGAAAAAACGCAACAAAAGGAAUCAGUCCUUCCCCAUUCCACAUAUUUUUCUCCCACAAAGUCUACACGACUUAGACUCGGAUCAGUGCUUAUUUUUACUAUAAAGUGUCAUUUUUGAGGAGUUUCUGCCAUCCAAAUUUGUACGCAUACAUUUUAGUUCUUAGUUUUCAGCAGAAAUUACAUUCAGGAUCAAAGUUGUCGAUAUUUGAAGGUAUUUUCCAUUCAGUUCAAUGUACUCGAAGUAUUUUCGCAUUUAAUUCCUGUUUACAGGUUCUUUACAUAAUUGCUUUAAUUUGAUUCUGUCUGUUCAAAAUUUAUUUAUUUGCAAUGAUGUUGUCAAUUUCUAUUACCAUGAAUCGCAUAUUUAUGUUUAAUACCAUAUCUGGCUAAACUAUUUUUAGUUCGGUAUGUGAGGAUCAUCGUUCCGACGAGACUCGGUAAUAAGUUGGCGUAAACCUUUUUAUAAAUAUUCUUUUGAUUUUGAUUUUUAAUUGUAAUUCUGAAAAGUUUUGCACGAGAGUGAAACCAUUAAGGUUCAAAAUAAAAAAUGAGAGUGUGAGACUUGAACCGGAUAUUAAAAAUUAGGCAUUAAUACUAAAUACAACGAGAGCAAUUUAGGAUUAAUUAGAACUUAUUGAUUUUCAAAAAGUAUUUCCUGUUACAAAUGGGCUAGCGAGAGCAGGCAUUUGAUCUGGAGGUAUAUCUAGAGUCAACAAAACGAGAGUGUGAGAUAAUGGCUUUUAAAUUAAUAUUUCUUUACUAAAAAGUGAUUUAAUACAUUCACACAUACCAAUGAAUUAUUGAGUCCCCGAGGUACGUCGGGAUCCACGUUUCGGCCUCUCCUUUCUGCUAUAUUUUCCAAACUUUAUUUUAGUUUUAUUAUUACCUUCCCCCAAAUCAAAAUUUCAUAAGCCUUAGAUUUACAUAGCACCAAUAGAUAGCGAUAAGUUUGAUUAUUGAUCCAUGUAGAUUCGAUGUCUUUUAAAACUACGUGAGACAACUAUGCACUUGCAAUUAGAUAUUUCGAUAGACUCACUAAGUCGCAAUCAACCACUCACACUUGAAUCCCAACAAUCUCUCCCACAGGUGUAAUUCAACCAUUUCACUGGCCUUGAUCUACAUUAUGAUCCAUGUUUUCUCCCCCACCGAGCCUAACUAUACUCUGGUACCAUUUGUUAGGGAGUCCAUGGAGUGCAAGAAGUGUCAAUAAGUUAAAUGUUCAUGGAUCCAAGAGACUUUGACACCACAUAUUGAUAAAUGUCUUUACAUCGUUCUUUCUAGUCAUUUUCCUUUAUUAUUCUACCAUAUUUUGUUCUAUUUCCUUUCAUUUAUCAUGUUUUAUGCUUUGGUUGGAGUUUUCUUGUGAAUUCCAGGGUGUAAUGAGCAUCCAAGACAAAGAGGGAUCAAAGACAUGCAAAACGGAGCAAAAUGGUAUUUUGGAAAUUUCUCCCAUACAAAAACCUGGGACUGCUACGACCAUCCCUAUCAUUUUCUACAUGUCGUAGCAGCAUGAUGCCUCAUCCCCCAUAUUUGCAAAUUACCAAUAGUAAAUGCAGAAGGCAGAUACGACCACCUGUAGCAGCUGUUACAGGCCGUAGCAGGGAGGCAAUAGAAAAGUCAAAUAUUUGUUUUGCUUCCAUAAAUAAAAUGAUUCACUCUUAAUUAUGGCUCUUAGGCACGAUUGGAUCUGUAUCUAAUCUGAAUAUUUCAUAUUGAACCAAAUAUAUUUUGCACUUUUAAUUUU